rnacentral:miRNA from 4 species
AGCUGGUGUUGUGAAUC